rnacentral:rRNA from 1 species
UACGUAGGGUGCAAGCGUUGUCCGGAAUUAUUGGGCGUAAAGGGCUCGUAGGCGGUCUGUCACGUCGGGAGUGAAAACUCGGGGCUUAACCCCGAGCCUGCUUCCGAUACGGGCAGACUAGAGGUAUGCAGGGGAGAAUGGAAUUCCUGGUGUAGCGGUGAAAUGCGCAGAUAUCAGGAAGAACACCAAUGGCGAAGGCAGCUCUCUGGGACGGUACUGACACUGAGACGCGAAAGCGUGGGGAGCGAACAGG